CCUGCAUGACAACCCAGGCAGACAGUCCAGAGAAUUUAAUUGGCAAGCCAUCUAUUUAACCCCGUAACUUUCCAAAACACCAUAAAACCUUUACAUGGAGGUUAUUGUUAUACUUGAGACUUUAUUGAACACAGAUAUGAGUGUUUUAAAAAGUAAAACUUGUCACGAUGAUUUUAUCACCAGUAAAAAAAACAAAUAAAAAUGCUAACUUUGGCCAGCAUACGUGACUAAGUGGCUACAGCAAAAGAAUGGACAUACCCUAUUUUGAAUACCCUGGGUUGUCUACAUUUGAAAAUGGUAUGCCAUGAUGGAGUUAAUUCACAUUCCUGGUCUCAAAAGGAAACAUAGACCCAGCAAACCAAUCUGGCAAACUGAAAUGGGCAAGCCCUAUAUUGACCCUGUAACUUUUCAAAACAUCAUAAAAUCUGUUCAAGGGGGGUAUUGUUAUAGACUUAACUGAACACAAGUAUGUUUUACUGUUUUGAAAAACUCACGCGAUGAUAUGG